CCUACGGGUGGCAGCAGUGGGGAAUAUUGCACAAUGGGGGAAACCCUGAUGCAGCGACGCCGCGUGAGUGAAGAAGUAUUUCGGGAUGUAAAGCUCUAUCAGCAGGGAAGAUAAUGACGGUACCUGACUACGCAGCCCCGGCUAACUACGUGCCAGCAGCCGCGGUCAUACGUAGGGGGCAAGCGUUAUCCGGAUUUACUGGGUGUAACGGGUGCGUAGGUGGCAGGGCAAGUCAGAUGUGAAAGCCCGGGGCUCAACCCGGGGACUGCAUUUGAAACUGUCCAGCUGGAGUGCAGUAGAGGGAAGCGGAAUUCCUGGUGUAGCGGUGAAAUGCGUAGAUAUUAGGAGGAACACCAGUGGCGAAGGCGGCUUACUGGACUGUAACUGACACUGAGGCACGAAAGCGUGGGGAGCAAACAGGAUUAGAUACCCUUGUAGUC
rnacentral:rRNA from 1 species